rnacentral:rRNA from 1 species
CCUACGGGAGGCAGCAGUGGGGAAUUUUCCGCAAUGGGCGAAAGCCUGACGGAGCAACGCCGCGUGAGGGAUGAAGGCCUCUGGGCUGUAAACCUCUUUUAUCAAGGAAGAAGAUCUGACGGUACUUGAUGAAUAAGCCACGGCUAAUUCCGUGCCAGCAGCCGCGGUAAUACGGGAGUGGCAAGCGUUAUCCGGAAUUAUUGGGCGUAAAGCGUCCGCAGGCGGUCUUGUAAGUCUGUCGUUAAAGCGUGGAGCUUAACUCCAUUUCGGCGGUGGAAACUACAAGACUAGAGUGUGGUAGGGGCAGAGGGAAUUCCCGGUGUAGCGGUGAAAUGCGUAGAUAUCGGGAAGAACACCAGUGGCGAAGGCGCUCUGCUGGGCCAUAACUGACGCUCAUGGACGAAAGCUAGGGGAGCGAAAGGGAUUAGAUACCCCUGUAGUCCUAGCCGUAAACGAUGAACACUAGGUGUCGGGGGAAUCGACCCCUCGGUGUCGUAGCUAACGCGUUAAGUGUUCCGCCUGGGGAGUACGCACGCAAGUGUGAAACUCAAAGAUAGUAGGCGNGAGAGNGCGACGACGACGACGAGGAGGAG